rnacentral:misc_RNA from 1 species
GAAACGCGAUAGUUAAUGUGAAUUGCAGAAUUCAGUGAAUCAUCGAGUCUUUGAACGCACAUUGCGCCCAUAGGUAUUCCUUUGGGCAUGUCUUUUUGAGCGUCAUUACAACCCUCAGCUAACCGCUGGUUUUGAACCUGAACGGGUGACACCGCGCCGGUUUUAAAGUUGUAAGCUCUGCUGGCCGCUCUGCCCAACCAGAACAUAGUAAGCACUACUUGUCCGGGUGAAGCUGAACGGUACGGCCUGAACAAAACCUACCCACUCUCAAGGUUUGACCUCAGAUCAGACAAGGAUACCCGCUGAACUUAAGC